rnacentral:rRNA from 1 species
AACGAACGCUGGCGGCAGGCUUAACACAUGCAAGUCGAACGCCCCGCAAGGGGAGUGGCGCACGGGUGAGUAACGCGUGGGAAUAUGCCCUUCGGUUCGGAAUAACACAGGGAAACUUGUGCUAAUACCGGAUACGAUCUACGGAUGAAAGAUUUAUCGCCGAGGGAGUAGCCCGCGUAGGAUUAGCUAGUUGGUGAGGUAAUGGCUCACCAAGGCGACGAUCCUUAGCUGGUCUGAGAGGAUGAUCAGCCACACUGGGACUGAGACACGGCCCAGACUCCUACGGGAGGCAGCAGUGGGGAAUAUUGGACAAUGGGGGAAACCCUGAUCCAGCCAUGCCGCGUGAGUGAUGAAGGCCUUAGGGUUGUAAAGCUCUUUCGCCAGGGAAGAUAAUGACGGUACCUGGAAAAGAAGCCUCGGCUAACUCCGUGCCAGCCGCCGCCGUAACAC